rnacentral:rRNA from 1 species
UACGUAGGGGGCAAGCGUUGUCCGGAAUCAUUGGGCGUAAAGAGCGUGUAGGCGGCUCGAUAAGUCCGCUGUGAAAGUCCAGGGCUCAACCCUGGAAGGCCGGUGGAUACUGCCGGGCUAGAAUCCGGAAGAGGCGAGUGGAAUUCCUGGUGUAGCGGUGGAAUGCGCAGAUAUCAGGAGGAACACCAAUAGCGAAGGCAGCUCGCUGGGACGGUAUUGACGCUAAGGCGCGAAAGCGUGGGGAGCAAACAGG